GGGGCGGGGCCGGGCCGGGCCGGGCCGGGCCCGGCCCGCGGGGCCGCUGCGAGCACGUGGUGAGGCAGCUGGAGCAUGUGAAGCGUCACCUUCUGCGGCACGGCAAGAAAACCCUGCAUGGCUGAUUCCGCUCACUGCUCAGGUAGUCGCAUGCCUGGGGCGAGACACGUUGGCACGUCAACAUCGGCAACCAAUUCCAAGCGGAGCUUCCCGACCUCCAGGACCCAGCCCGUUUGGAAGAGGAGGAAGAGGGAGCGUCGCUGGUCUGGAAACCCUGGGGCGACAUCGAAACCAACCCGGAGACGCAGGAGAAAGUUACAAACCUGCUCCAUUUGGCUUCUGCCAACACCAGGCCAGGGGGACAGGUCAACCUGGAGCUCGCUCUGCAUUGCCUGCACGAGGCUCAAGGCGACGUGCUGGAGGUGGCAGAGAUGCUGCAUGGUGGGCCGCCUCGGAGACCCGAAUCCCAUCCCCUGGCUGAUUAUCAUUACACAGG